rnacentral:rRNA from 1 species
CAGCCGCCGCGGUAAUGCGUAGGUGGCAAGCGUUGUCCGGAAUUAUUGGGCGUAAAGGGCUCGCAGGCGGUUUCUUAAGUCUGAUGUGAAAGCCCCCGGCUCAACCGGGGAGGGUCAUUGGAAACUGGGAAACUUGAGUGCAGAAGAGGAGAGUGGAAUUCCACGUGUAGCGGUGAAAUGCGUAGAGAUGUGGAGGAACACCAGUGGCGAAGGCGACUCUCUGGUCUGUAACUGACGCUGAGGAGCGAAAGCGUGGGGAGCGAACAGGAUUAGAUACCCGUGUAGUCCCUGUCUCUUAUAC